rnacentral:rRNA from 1 species
GACAAUGGGCGAAAGCCUGAUCCAGCCAUGCCGCGUGUGUGAAGAAGGCCUUUUGGUUGUAAAGCACUUUAAGCGGGGAGGAGGCUACUUUGGUUAAUACCCAAGGAUAGUGGACGUUACCCGCAGAAUAAGCACCGGCUAACUCUGUGCCAGCAGCCGCGGUAAUAAUCUAGAUG